AAGUCGAGCGGGAAAGCUUCCUUCGGGAAGCGAGUACAGCGGCGAACGGGUGAGUAACACGUAGGUAACCUACCGCGGAGACUGGGAUAACCUGUCGAAAGGCGGGCUAAUACCAGAUAAGACCACGGGAGCUUCGGCUCCUGAGGUAAAAGGUGGCCAAUGCUUGCAAGCUACCACUCCGAGAUGGGCCUGCGCACCAUUAGCUUGUUGGUGGGGUAACGGCUCACCAAGGCUGAGAUGGUUAGCUGGUCUGAGAGGAUGAUCAGCCACACUGGGACUGAGACACGGCCCAGACUCCUACGGGAGGCAGCAGUGGGGAAUAUUGCGCAAUGGGCGAAAGCCUGACGCAGCGACGCCGCGUGGGUGAUGAAGGCCUUCGGGUCGUAAAGCCCUGUCAGGAGGGACGAAACCUCGGCAGGUUAAUACCCUGUCGACUUGACGGUACCUCCAAAGGAAGCACCGGCUAACUCCGUGCCAGCAGCCGCGGUAAUACGGAGGGUGCGAGCGUUGUUCGGAAUUACUGGGCGUAAAGCGCGUGUAGGCGGCCUUGUAAGUCUGGUGUGAAAGCCCGGGGCUCACCCCCGGAAGUGCAUUGGAUACUGCAAGGCUCGAGUACCGGAGAGGAGGGUGGAAUUCCUGGUGUAGCGGUGAAAUGCGUAGAUAUCA
rnacentral:rRNA from 1 species